AAUCGAAGCAGUGAACUUAAGCCCCAGUAAACGGCGGCCGUAACUAUAACGGUCCUAAGGUAGCGAAAUUCCUUGUCGGGUAAGUUCCGACCUGCACGAAUGGCGUAACGACAGCGGCGCUGUCUCCACCCGAGACUCAGUGAAAUUGAAAUCGCUGUGAAGAUGCAGUGUAUCCGCGGCUAGACGGAAAGACCCCGUGAACCUUUACUAUAGCUUGACACUGAACACUGGUCCUUGAUGUGUAGGAUAGGUGGGAGGCUUUGAAGCGUGGACGCCAGUCUGCGUGGAGCCAACCUUGAAAUACCACCCUUUAAUGGCUGGUGUUCUAACGUAGACCCGUUACCCGGGUUGCGGACAGUGUCUGGUGGGUAGUUUGACUGGGGCGGUCUCCUCCUAAAGAGUAACGGAGGAGCACGAAGGUUAGCUAAUCCUGGUCGGACAUCAGGAGGUUAGUGCAAUGGCAUAAGCCAGCUUGACUGCGAGCGUGACGGCGCGAGCAGGUGCGAAAGCAGGUCAUAGUGAUCCGGUGGUUCUGUAUGGAAGGGCCAUCGCUCAACGGAUAAAAGGUACUCCGGGGAUAACAGGCUGAUACCGCCCAAGAGUUCAUAUCGACGGCGGUGUUUGGCACCUCGAUGUCGGCUCAUCACAUCCUGGGGCUGAAGCCGGUCCCAAGGGUAUGGCUGUUCGCCAUUUAAAGUGGUACGCGAGCUGGGUUUAGAACGUCGUGAGACAGUUCGGUCCCUAUCUGCCGUGGGCGCUGGAGAAUUGAGGGGGGCUGCUCCUAGUACGAGAGGACCGGAGUGGACGAACCUCUGGUGUUCCGGUUGUCACGCCAGUGGCAUUGCCGGGUAGCUAUGUUCGGAAGAGAUAACCGCUGAAAGCAUCUAAGCGGGAAACUUGCCUCAAGAUGAGAUCUCACUGGGAUCUUGAAUCCCCUAAAGGGCCGUCGAAGACUACGACGUUGAUAGGUUGGGUGUGUAAGCGCUGUGAGGCGUUGAGCUAACCAAUACUAAUUGCCCGUGAGGCUUGACCCU
rnacentral:rRNA from 1 species